rnacentral:rRNA from 1 species
ACGAGUUUGAUCAUGGCUCAGGAUGAACGCUAGCGGCAGGCCUAACACAUGCAAGUCGAGGGGUAGAGUUCUUCGGGACUUGAGACCGGCGCACGGGUGCGUAACGCGUAUGCAAUCUACCUUAUACAGGGGAAUAGCCCAGAGAAAUUUGGAUUAAUGCCCCAUAGUGUUAUCGAAUCGCAUGGUUUGAUAACUAAAGUUCCAACAAUAUAAGAUGAGCAUGCGUCCCAUUAGUUAGUUGGUAAGGUAACGGCUUACCAAGACAAUGAUGGGUAGGGGUCCUGAGAGGGAGAUCCCCCACACUGGUACUGAGACACGGACCAGACUCCUACGGGAGGCAGCAGUGAGGAAUAUUGGUCAAUGGGCGCAAGCCUGAACCAGCCAUGCCGCGUGCAGGAAGACGGUCCUAUGGAUUGUAAACUGCUUUUAUACAGGAAGAAACCCUCCCACGUGUGGGAGCUUGACGGUACUGUAGGAAUAAGGAUCGGCUAACUCCGUG